rnacentral:rRNA from 1 species
GAUGAACGCUGGCGGCGUGCCUAAUACAUGCAAGUCGAGCGAACAGACGAGGAGCUUGCUCCUCUGACGUUAGCGGCGGACGGGUGAGUAACACGUGGAUAACCUACCUAUAAGACUGGGAUAACUUCGGGAAACCGGAGCUAAUACCGGAUAAUAUAUUGAACCGCAUGGUUCAAUAGUGAAAGACGGUUUUGCUGUCACUUAUAGAUGGAUCCGCGCCGCAUUAGCUAGUUGGUAAGGUAACGGCUUACCAAGGCAACGAUGCGUAGCCGACCUGAGAGGGUGGUCGGCCACACUGGAACUGAGCCACGGUCCAGACUCCUACGGGAGGCAGCAGUAGGGAAUCUUCCGCAAUGGGCGAAAGCCUGACGGAGCAACGCCGCGUGAGUGAUGAAGGUCUUCUGAUCGUAGAGCUCUGUUAUUAGGGAAGAACAAAUGUGUAAGUAACUAUGCACGUCUUGACGGUACCUAAUCAGAAAGCCACGGCUAACUACGUG